AAAGUCACCAAAAUACCAAAUACCAAAAUAAGAAAAAAGAAUAAGAACGAAAAUGCCAUACAUCAGGGGUAAUGAAUGGAACCAGAAAAAAGAAUUUUCCUUUGUCCACUGAUAAUGAGAGACUUCUUAUCUUAAUUCCAAUUUUAUCCCCAUAUAUGCAUGUAUACCGAAUAGCAAGUAUGAUUGAUGUAACUGAGGGCAAAAGAAUGUUUUUUGCUACAGAUCUCUUGCACUUCCUAUCAUUCGAGAAAGAAAAACUUGAGCGUUUCGGUAUUCAUUCUCCAUAGUUCAAGAGAUUUGAGAGAGGAAGUAGCAAAAUUCAGCACAAAUCACAGCGAUAGAGAAGAUCAUUUUCUGCUUCCUCCGCCUAUAGAUUAGAUCUUUCACUUAUCAAGUAGCUGAAAGAGUGCAAGUAGGAUACUGCUUUACCUUUCAGGUGACAUCUUGAGAUGUUAAAUUCUCAACUAAAGACUGCAGUGGAAAGGAAGAAGGUCAAUCAGACAUGCAUUUUGGUUAGCUAGAGGAUUAUUCCAUGUUCUCAUCUCAUGUUUUUCUCUGAUUUUAUUUUUGCGACUGCUUUCUGGAUGCUCCUCUAUUCGGAAUAUGUCGUAGCGAUACGAGAUCACAGUGCUGGAGCAGCAACUUUUAGACAGCAGUAGUU